rnacentral:rRNA from 1 species
GAGUUUGAUCCUGGCUCAGAUUGAACGCUGGCGGAAUGCUUUACACAUGCAAGUCGAACGGCAGCACGGGAGCUUGCUCCUGGUGGCGAGUGGCGAACGGGUGAGUAAUGCGUCGGAACGUACCGAGUAAUGGGGGAUAACGCACCGAAAGGUGUGCUAAUACCGCAUACGCCCUGAGGGGGAAAGUGGGGGAUUCGUAAGAACCUCACGUUAUUCGAGCGGCCGACGUCUGAUUAGCUAGUUGGUGGGGUAAAGGCCUACCAAGGCGACGAUCAGUAGCGGGUCUGAGAGGAUGAUCCGCCACACUGGGACUGAGACACGGCCCAGACUCCUACGGGAGGCAGCAGUGGGGAAUUUUGGACAAUGGGGGCAACCCUGAUCCAGCCAUUCCGCGUGAGUGAAGAAGGCCUUCGGGUUGUAAAGCUCCUUCAGCCGGAACGAAACGGUACGCUCUAACAUAGCGUGCUAAUGACGGUACCGGCAGAAGAAGCACCGGCUAACUACGUGCCAGCAGCCGCGGUAAUACGUAGGGUGCGAGCGUUAAUCGGAAUUACUGGGCGUAAAGCGUGCGCAGGCGGAUUGUUAAGCAAGAUGUGAAAUCCCCGGGCUUAACCUGGGAAUGGCAUUUUGAACUGGCAGUCU